AUGAUUGCUUUUAGUGACAUUUUAAACAACCAAUAACUGGCACCGUCUGAUUUCWCAUCAGCCAAUCAGGUUGAUUGUCCCGCCCCUUUAACUGCAGCGCUGAGAUUUAGCUCAGAUUGCGUCUAACUGCCGUGAGAGCUGAGAGCUGACGGUUGUUCCGUGAAUCYCCYGUAAGAUUCUGUUAAAUUCUACAAAGAAUCCUGGAAAUUGAUCUCCAAAAGCUUCUAACAGCUGACGUCCGGAAAAAUCCCUGAUAGUUAUAUAGCAUUGAAGCAUCGGUCAGGUUUUUUUUUUCUAUGGUGCACUUUUGAAACAUUGUGCCAGAGACAUCAAGAUCAACCUUACAAGAACUUGGAUGGUGAGCCCCAGCCCAGAGGACCAAGUGAACUGAUAGACAGUGACGAAACAUAAAAAAAUAUUUCACAGACAUAUUGGAAAGACUAAACAAACUUUGAAAGAACAUUUGACAGACACAUAAAAGACUGGGUUAUUUUUUUAUUUUUUUUAAAGCGUGCAAUUUUUGUUUAUUUGUGCAAUGUGGAUCCACAAAUGUUGUUUAUAUUAAAUUCUACUUUCUAAAAUUAAAUUCUACUUUUUUAUAUACAUUGUGUGCUCUCCUCUGUUGUUCACACCUAGGCUCCCCCGAAUUUAGAAUCUCCUGAUCAGGCCCAACUUACUUAUACUUUUGUAGUGUUGGUAUUGCCGUCUAUUAUUAAAAGGUAUUUAAAGUAACCCUUCUUGUGGGUUACAUGUGCCCAAAUAAAAAGAGAGUACAGCAGUGGUGUGAGGCUUAAUUACAAGAACAGAAGAAAUCAGUGGAUUCAGAUUCCAGUGAAAGCAGUUUCUAUAUUUAAUAGACAUGCCAUGAUAAGAAGUAUUAUUUAGUAUGAACAGGCCUGUAAUUAACCCCAAAAAAAGAGCCCUGAUAACUGGCUAGUCCACAAAAUGCUUCAUUUACAUGAUUCUAUGGCUCCUGGUUGAGUAACUUUACAAGAAAUAUAUCAUUAAGGAAUAACACAAGUUGAGGUAGUACAUGUAAAAAGAAAACAAGUGAGAGAGAAUGAUGUAUUAUAAUGCCAGGCACAGGACUGUAUUUUCUAUGCCAGCCUUACUGCAGUCUGUUAAAGGACACAACAGAACACAGUGAUGUGUUUCCAUAAUGAUGCGGCUUAAUUAUGGAGUGGAGCACAGCCGAGGAGAAUACUGCAUUGAUUGCUAAUGGAAAUAUUUGUAUUUAACAGUGUAAUGUGUUAUAUUUAAUGAAACAACACCAAUGACGUGAAAAAUGAGACGUUUAAUGUUUUGCGCAAAUGUUUUAAGUACUUCUGUAAGAUCCGUAUGGGCUAAAAACUAAUUAGCCCCAAAAUCACAUCUGCAGGUUGGAGACUAAGGUGUGAAUUAAGCCAUUUGAGGUUACAAUUAUUCAUACAAUAGCUAUAUAUUAGGUAAGGGCUAUUAUUAGUUGGACUGUGUGU